CAAUAGCGUAUAUUAAAGUUGUUGCAGUUAAAACGCUCGUAGUUGAACAUCUGCCCUUUUCCGGUUAGGUCCGCUCUGCGUGCACCUUCCGAAAUCGGCAUCCGUCUGCGUUGCUUCGCAUUGCAGACCGUUCACUUUGAGGAAAUUAGAGUGUUCAAAGCAGGCUUACGCCUUGAAUACUUCAGCAUGGAAUGAUUGAUAGGACUUCUAUCCUAUCUUGGUUCUAGGGACAGAAGUAAUGGUAAACAGGGUUGGUUGGGGGCAUUCGUACUGAACAGUCAGAGGUGAAAUUCUUAGACUUGUUCAAGACGAACAACUGCGAAAGCAUUUGCCAAGGACGACCCCAUUAA
rnacentral:rRNA from 1 species